rfam:Tuber melanosporum whole genome shotgun sequence assembly, scaffold_90, strain Mel28
UACAAUGAUGAUAUGUAUGACAAUAUGCUAUGCUCCUUCUUAAUACAUCAUGUAGAGCACCUGUCUUUUAUAUAAGUUUCAGCCUUGUCUGAUC